UACAAAACAUAACUAUCCAUAUCAAUGAAUUAUCCGUGGGAAUGUCCAAGGAACUCCUUUUGAAAUCAAACAUAUCAGAAGCCCCCUUCACGUCUUCUUUCAGAAACUUAACCCUCUCUUCUUUCUAAAGUUGAGGUGCUCCAUAAGGACAAAUACCUACAGUUCUACCCUUGCAAUGAUUGGCCUAUUUCUAAUUGGAUUUGAAAUUACAUUCUUUUUAAUCAAACGAGAAAAAAUUGUAUGGAUUCAGGUUCAUGAUACAAGAGAAUGCUUUUAUUACAUGGUGAAGAACAGAACCAUCAUGGCCUCAGCCCAGAAUGAAAAUUUUAAUGGUGAAUGAAGGAAGAGCAUCAUCAUUUUGUUCAGGCAACUUUCUAGAAACACAUUUUUGUAAAGUUUGUCCCAAUGUUUCU